UGCCUUUGUGUUGCCCAUUCAUUUGUUACGGUAAUGACUGGGGUGUCAAAAGAGGCAUAAAUUAUACACUCUGCAGCAUGUUGGGUUUUUAGGAGUUACUUCCUUUCUUCUUUUGCUGCUUUUGAGGGACAUCC